GAACUCGAACAUUUCAGUAACAGUUCGUGUUCGAGUUCGGUGUUCGGCGAUUUAAUGGCGUGUUUUGAAAAGCUGCAGGGCAGCCAAUCAACAAGCGUUUGACUUGUGUGCCCUUAGAAGCCAUCACAGCCAUGCCUACUAAUGGCAUGGCUGUGAUUGGCCAGUGCAGCAUGUGACCCAGCCUCUAUAUAAGCUGGAGUCACAUGAGCUCUUAUUGGUGUAGGGAGAGGAUGCUGCAGCUGUGAGGGACAGAUUAGGAAAGAAUUCUG